GGGCAUGUGGUGUAGUUGGUUAUCACGCUCGCUUAGCAUCUAGCAUGUUGUCGUAGGCUUGCGAGAGGGGUCCGGUUCAAUCCCGGACAUGUCCA